ACCACCAAAAUUAACUCAAAAGUAUAGAUAAUUUAGCAUUGAAUAAAUAACGAAACUAAAUCAUUUUUCCACCUUAGUACGGGAGACGGAAAAGGUAAUUUAAGCAAUAGAGAAAGUACCGCAAGGGAAAGCUGAAAGAGUAAUGAAAUAAUUCAUUUAAGCACAAAAAAGCAGAGCUUAACCCUUGUACCUUUUGCAUCAUGAUUUAGCCAGCACUACCCAAGCAAAGUGACCUUUAGUUUGAAACCCCGAAACCAAGUGAGCUACCCCGGGACAGCCUUAAAGGGCGAACCCGUCUCUGUGGCAAAAGAGUGGGAAGAGCCCCGGGUAGAGGUGAUAAACCUACCGAACUUGGUGAUAGCUGGUUGCCUGAGAAAUGAAUAGAAGUUCAGCCUCGUAUCCCUUUAGCCAACCAAGAAAUAUCUAAAUAAGCACAAAAGAGAAAUACGAGAGUUAGUUGAAGGGGGUACAGCCCCUUUAAUAAAGGACACAACCUUAAAUAGGUGGAUAAGAGUCACAUUUUAUAAAACUAGUUGUUCCAGUGGGCCUAAAAGCAGCCAUCUGAGUAGAAAGCGUUAAAGCUCAAACAACAUGCAGUUUAUUAUACUGAUAAAUAACCCAACUCCCCUAGAAAUAUUAGGCCAUUCCAUGCCACCAUGGAAGAGACCAUGCUAAAAUGAGUAACAGGAGGAUAUGAUCCUCUCCUAGCACAAGUGUAAGCCAGAUCGGACAAACCACUGGAAAUUAACGAGCCCAGAAAAAGAGGGUAAUGUGGCCAACAAAGAAAUCAGGAAAAUACCACAGCAUUUAUAUCGUUAAACCCACACUGGAGUGCCUCCAAGGAAAGACUAAAAGAAAGGGAAGGAACUCGGCAAACACAAGCCUCGCCUGUUUACCAAAAACAUCGCCUCCUGCAAAUCCCUACGUAUAGGAGGUCCAGCCUGCCCGGUGACUACAAGUUUAACGGCCGCGGUAUUUUGACCGUGCAAAGGUAGCGCAAUCACUUGUCUUUUAAAUGAAGACCUGUAUGAAUGGCUAAACGAGGGCUUAGCUGUCUCCCUUUUCAGGUCAGUGAAAUUGAUCUACCCGUGCAG
rnacentral:rRNA from 1 species